rnacentral:rRNA from 1 species
GACGUAGGGCGCAAGCGUUGUCCGGAUUUAUUGGGCGUAAAGAGCUCGUAGGCGGUUCGGUAAGUCGGGUGUGAAACCUCCAGGCUCAACCUGGAGUCGCCACUCGAUACUGCUGUGACUAGAGUCCGGUAGGGGAGCGUGGAAUUCCUGGUGUAGCGGUGAAAUGCGCAGAUAUCAGGAGGAACACCGGUGGCGAAGGCGGGUCUCUGGGCCGAUACUGACGCUGAGGAGCGAAAGCGUGGGGAGCGAACAGG